GCUUUUCCGCUGACGAGUGGCGCACGGGUGCGUAACGCGUAUACAAUCUGCCUCUUACAGGGGGGUAGCCUUUGGAAACGAAGAAUAAUACCCCAUAGCAAGUAACUUUCGCAUGGAAGCUACUUUAAAGUUUCGGCGGUAAGAGAUGAGUAUGCGUCCUAUUAGCUAGAUGGUGUGGUAACGGCACACCAUGGCGACGAUAGGUAGGGGCCCUGAGAGGGGGAUCCCCCACACUGGUACUGAGACACGGACCAGACUCCUACGGGAGGCAGCAGUGAGGAAUAUUGGACAAUGGGCGAGAGCCUGAUUCAGCCAUGCCGCGUGCAGGAAGACUGCCCUAUGGGUUGUAAACUGCUUUUGUACGGGAUGAAACCCAUCUACGUGUAGAUGGCUGACGGUACCGUAAGAAUAAGGAUCGGCUAACUCCGUGCCAGCAGCCGCGGUAAUACGGAGGAUCCUAGCGUUAUCCGGAAUCAUUGGGUUUAAAGGGUCCGCAGGUGGACGAUUAAGUCAGAGGUGAAAUCCUGCAGCUCAACUGUAGAAUUGCCUUUGAUACUGGUUGUCUUGAAUCAUUGUGAAGUGGUUAGAAUAUGUAGUGUAGCGGUGAAAUGCAUAGAUAUUACAUAGAAUACCAAUUGCGAAGGCAGAUCACUAACAAUGUAUUGACACUGAUGGACGAAAGCGUGGGGAGCGAACGGGAUUAGAUACCCCGGUAGUCCACGCCGUAAACGAUGGUCACUAGCUGUUCGGACUCCGGUCUGAGUGGCUAAGCGAAAGUGAUAAGUGACCCACCUGGGGAGUACGUUCGCAAGAAUGAAACUCAAAGGAAUUGACGGGGGCCCGCACAAGCGGUGGAGCAUGUGGUUUAAUUCGAUGAUACGCGAGGAACCUUACC
rnacentral:rRNA from 1 species